CCUCGGGUCUGCAGUGGGUACGGGCAGACUAGAGUGCGGUAGGGGAGAUUGGAAUUCCUGGUGUAGCGGUGGAAUGCGCAGAUAUCAGGAGGAACACCGAUGGCGAAGGCAGAUCUCUGGGCCGUAACUGACGCUGAGGAGCGAAAGCAUGGGGAGCGAACAGGAUUAGAUACCCUGGUAGUCCAUGCCGUAAACGUUGGGAACUAGAUGUGGGGGCCAUUCCACGGUCUCCGUGUCGCAGCUAACGCAUUAAGUUCCCCGCCUGGGGAGUACGGCCGCAAGGCUAAAACUCAAAGGAAUUGACGGGGGCCCGCACAAGCGGCGGAGCAUGCGGAUUAAUUCGAUGCAACGCGAAGAACCUUACCAAGGCUUGACAUAUACCGGAGACAUGCAGAGAUGUGUGCCCCGCAAGGUCGGUAUACAGGUGGUGCAUGGUUGUCGUCAGCUCGUGUCGUGAGAUGUUGGGUUAAGUCCCGCAACGAGCGCAACCCUCGUUCUAUGUUGCCAGCACGUCAUGGUGGGAACUCAUAGGAGACUGCCGGGGUCAACUCGGAGGAAGGUGGGGAUGACGUCAAAUCAUCAUGCCCCUUAUGUCUUGGGCUUCACGCAUGCUACAAUGGCCGGUACAAAGGGCUGCGAUACCGUAAGGUGGAGCGAAUCCCAAAAAGCCGGUCUCAGUUCGGAUUGAGGUCUGCAACUCGACCUCAUGAAGUCGGAGUCGCUAGUAAUCGCAGAUCAGCAACGCUGCGGUGAAUACGUUCCCGGGCCUUGUACACACCGCCCGUCAAGUCAUGAAAGUCGGUAACACCCGAAGCCAGUGGCCUAACCGCAAGGGAGGAGCUGUCGAAGGUGGGAUCGGUGAUUAGGACUAAGUCGUAACAAGGUAGCCGUACCGGAAGGUGCGGCUGGAUCACCUCCUUUCUAAGGA
rnacentral:rRNA from 1 species